GCCCCGGUAAACGGCGGCCGUAACUAUAACGGUCCUAAGGUAGCGAAAUUCCUUGUCGGGUAAGUUCCGACCUGCACGAAUGGCGUAAUGAUGGCCAGGCUGUCUCCACCCGAGACUCAGUGAAAUUGAACUCGCUGUGAAGAUGCAGUGUACCCGCGGCAAGACGGAAAGACCCCGUGAACCUUUACUAUAGCUUGACACUGAACAUUGAGCCUUGAUGUGUAGGAUAGGUGGGAGGCUUUGAAGUGUGGACGCCAGUCUGCAUGGAGCCGGCCUUGAAAUACCACCCUUUAAUGUUUGAUGUUCUAACGUGGACCCGUGAUCCGGGUUGCGGACAGUGUCUGGUGGGUAGUUUGACUGGGGCGGUCUCCUCCUAAAGAGUAACGGAGGAGCACGAAGGUUGGCUAAUCCUGGUCGGACAUCAGGAGGUUAGUGCAAUGGCAUAAGCCAGCUUGACUGCGAGCGUGACGGCGCGAGCAGGUGCGAAAGCAGGUCAUAGUGAUCCGGUGGUUCUGAAUGGAAGGGCCAUCGCUCAACGGAUAAAAGGUACUCCGGGGAUAACAGGCUGAUACCGCCCAAGAGUUCAUAUCGACGGCGGUGUUUGGCACCUCGAUGUCGGCUCAUCACAUCCUGGGGCUGAAGUAGGUCCCAAGGGUAUGGCUGUUCGCCAUUUAAAGUGGUACGCGAGCUGGGUUUAGAACGUCGUGAGACAGUUCGGUCCCUAUCUGCCGUGGGCGCUGGAGAACUGAGGGGGGCUGCUCCUAGUACGAGAGGACCGGAGUGGACGCAUCACUGGUGUUCGGGUUGUCAUGCCAAUGGCACUGCCCGGUAGCUAAAUGCGGAAGAGAUAAGUGCUGAAAGCAUCUAAGCACGAAACUUGCCCCGAGAUGAGUUCUCCCUGAGACUUAGAGUCUCCUGAAGGAACGUUGAAGACGACGACGUUGAUAGGCCGGGUGUGUAAGCGCAGCGAUGCGUUGAGCUAACCGGUACUAAUGAACCGUGAGGCUUAACCUUACAACGCCGAAG
rnacentral:rRNA from 1 species